rnacentral:misc_RNA from 1 species
UCUCCGUUGGUGAACCAGCGGAGGGAUCAUUAUCGAGUUUAUAACUCCCAAACCCUAUGUGAACUUACCACUUGUUGCUUCGGCGCGCGCUUCGGUGCCGCCGAGGACACUUAAACUCUUUGUUUUUAUAAGCAUUUCUGAGUGGCCGAAAGGCAAAAUACAAAUGAAUCAAAACUUUCAACAACGGAUCUCUUGGUUCUA